GUAGGGGGCAAGCGUUAUCCGGAUUUACUGGGUGUAAAGGGAGCGCAGGCGGUAUGGCAAGUCAGAUGUGAAAACCCAGGGCUCAACCCUGGGACUGCAUUUGAAACUGCCAUACUGGAGUGCCGGAGAGGUAAGUGGAAUUCCUAGUGUAGCGGUGAAAUGCGUAGAUAUUAGGAGGAACACCAGUGGCGAAGGCGGCUUACUGGACGGUAACUGACGCUGAGGCUCGAAAGCGUGGGGAGCAAA
rnacentral:rRNA from 1 species